AUUGAACGCUGGCGGCAUGCCUAACACAUGCAAGUCGAGCGGAGCGGCAGACGGGUGAGUAAUGCCUAGGAAUCUGCCUGGUAGUGGGGGCUAACGUCCGGAAACGGGCGGUAAUAACGCAUCCUAUCUACUGAGCCUAGGGCGGAUUAGCUAGUUGGUAGGGUAAAGGCCUACCAAGGCGACGAGCCGUAACUGGUCUGAGAGGAUGAGCAGUCAAACUGGAACUGAGACACGGGCCAGACUCCUACGGGAGGCAGCAGUGGGUAAGAUUGGACAAUGGGCGAAAGCCUGAGCCAGCCAUGCCGCGUGUGUGAAGAAGGUCUUCGGAUUGUAAAGCACUUUAAGUUGGGAGGCGUUACCAACAGAAUAAGCACCGGCUAACUUCGUGCCAGCAGCCGCGGUAAUUC
rnacentral:rRNA from 1 species